UUGAAGCCGCUCUACGGUAUAUAAGCAUCGCUACUGUAUAUGCCUCAAUACUGUAUCAUAGCCUCUGGUGGUAAUAUACUGGUGGUAAUAUACUGGUGGUAAUAUACUGACUGGUGGUAAUAUACUGACUGGUGGUAAUAUACUGACUGGUGGUAAUAUACUGGUGGUAAUAUACUGGUGGUAAUAUACUGGUGGUAAAUCACUGGUGUAAUAUACUGACUGGUGGUAAUAUACUGGU
rnacentral:lncRNA from 1 species